CCUACGGGGGGCAGCAGUGGGGGAUAUUGCACAAUGGGGGAAACCCUGAUGCAGCAACGCCGCGUGUGGGAAGAAGGUUUUCUGGUUUGUAACCACUGUUCGUGGUGGAGCUAAUGACGGUAAGCAAGGAGAAAGCUGCGGCUAACUACGUGCCGGCAGCCGCGGUUAUACGUAGGGAGCAGGCGUUGUCCGGAUUUACUGGGGGUAAAGGGUGCGUAUGCGGUCUUGCCAGUCAGACGUGAAAACCACAGGCUCCACCUGUGGCCUGCGGUUGAAACUGUGUGGCUUGAGUGAAGUAGAGGUAGGCGGAAUUCCCGGUGUAGCGGUGAAAUGCGUAGAGAUCGCGAGGAACACCAGUGGCGAAGGCGGCCUACCGGGCUUUAACUGACGCUGAGGCACGAAAGCAUGGGUAGCAAACAGGAUUAGAUACCCCAGUAGUC
rnacentral:rRNA from 1 species